rnacentral:rRNA from 1 species
AUAGUUAUAUUCUUAAAAGUUAAAAAUUUUGGCGGUAUUUUAAUCUACUCAGAGGAACCUGUCCUAUAAUUGAUAUUCCACGAUUAAAUUAACUUGUUUUAAAAAUUUGUAUAUCGUCGUAGUUGAAUAUUUUAAUAGAAAAUAAAUGUUCUAAAUUUUUUAUUUAAAAAUAAAUCAGAUCAAGGUGCAGUUUAUAGAUAAGAUGAGAUGGGUUACAAUAAAGUUAUUUUUGGAUUAAUUUUUAAAAAAAAUUAUGAAAAUGGAUUUGAUAGUAAUUAGGUUAAUAUAGAUUUA